AUAGCCAACUUUGGUCGAUGUAAAGGGUGAUAGAUAAGAAGUGAAACUAAUAAGAAGGCUCCCUCUUCUUCUUUCAUAUCGUUCUUUCUUCUUCCAACUUUUAUCAGUGUUUAUACAUACUCAUAUGUGCUACUUUGUACCUUGGCCCAUAAACAAUAGCACUAGUUUUAGCAUAAGAUAGUAAAGCAGACCGUGAAGUUCAAUACGUUAUCAGCACGAAUUGCUCUGCGGUAACCACAGGGACUGACGACACCGAAAAAAAUAAUUUUCUUCAAUCUUGGCAUAUUUAAUUUAACUAUUGUUAAGUAGUUAUGUACAUGCAAUUAUUAUUAUGUCUAAUUCGUUUUCUGUUUUGAUUAGAACUUGUUAAAGGAAAGUUAGAUAUCUUACCAUAUCAUGUUUGUGCUAUUGAUAGCAUAAAUAAUUAUUAUGGUAAAAGAAGAGGUAUCCAAAACAGCCAACCAGCAGAAGGUUUUUCCGCGUCCUUUUGGAUAUCGUAGAGAGUAAAAUUACCUUUGUUGAUACACCAAUGAUUUUGUGGUAUUAACUGUUUUAAUAUCGGCAAAGCGAGGAAUUUUUGCAUCUUGAGAGGUAGCAAAAUUUUAUAUUCCUUUGUGAUAAUAAUCUCCGGAAUUCAAAGUCAUUCCACUGAAGGUCGGAGUGCAAUGGAAAUGGACACCGGGUUAACACGGUUAGCCUUUAUCUAUCAACGGUUGUUGAAAUGACCUACAAUUGAUAUUGAGAUAAUUUCUUUUAAUAUAUAAAGAAUGUGUUCAUAUUUCUACUUUGAUAAAUUAAUAUCUCGUCGAGCCUAAUGGACAAAAUUCGAGAUUUGUCGA